ncrna:unclassified sequences DTF3800-VI RNA
CGGUUGAGAGGGCUGCAUUGCGGUCCGUUGAACGAAAGUUCACUCGGCUG